CCUGCCCUUAGAAACAUUGCAGGUGUAGCUGCUAUGUCAUAUCAGUAGGUGGCAGAGAGGAGAAAGACUAUGUCUAUGUUGAGUGUUCUGAUUUAUGAAAAGAUGAAUGUUUAGUAGCCUAAGAUU